GUGUCAGCCGCCGCGGUAAUACGGAGGGUGCAAGCGUUAUCCGGAUUCACUGGGUUUAAAGGGUGCGUAGGUGGCUUUGUAAGUCAGUGGUGAAAUCUUAGAGCUUAACUCUAAAACUGCCAUUGAUACUGCUUAGCUUGAAUCAAGUAGAGGUGGAUGGAAUAUUACAUGUAGCGGUGAAAUGCUUAGAUAUGUAAUAGAACACCGAUUGCGAAGGCAGUUCACUAUGCUUGUAUUGACACUGAGGCACGAAAGCGUGGGGAUCAAACAGGAUUAGAUACCCCCGUAGUCC
rnacentral:rRNA from 1 species